UUCUCCACUCCUAGAUAUAGUUAAAUUCAUCUAGGUCAUAGUUAAAUUGUGAGACGGAAACUACGAAAUUAAUUACGGAAAAUCGGAUAAAUUGUUAUUGUUAUCAUGUGGACUAUUUGGUGGUUGUUAUGAAUUAUUUUGUAGGCUGGAAUAUUAUAGGAUUGGCUGUAGUUGUAAUAAAUAAAAAUUAAUUAUGUGAAUAAUUUGUUAAAUUUUUGGAUUUAGUGGAAGACUAAAAAAGGUUAGCUAAUGAAUUAAAUAGAUAAGUGGGAAAGGACCCUUUCCACAUGGGAGCCACUCAAUAAAGGUUGAAAUGAUUCAUUCUUCAUAUACGUAUUUGGUGGCAAUCUUAAAAUAGUUUUAGAAUUUAUAAUUAUUAAGGGUGGGCCCCACAUUCCAAUAAAUAAAGGAAAGAUAGUUCAUUGAGUUUUCAACUUGUAAAGUUAAUUCCGUUAAACUAGCAGCAAGCAUGUUCAACGUAAUAGCAAUACAAUUACUUUUAAACUUAUACCUUUACUUUAUCAAUUCUCAUUGAAGAUGGAUAACUGUACAUCAACUCUUUUAAGGUAGCCCAUCUUGAAUUUAAGAUAUUCAUCAAAUGGAGUGGAGGUAGCAAUGAAAACUAUAUGCAUCAACGUGUUGUGUUUAUUUCCAAGUUGUCGAAGCCGCUUGUUUCUUAGAAGAUUGAGGAAGAGCGGACAAAUUCCAUCUCAUUUACGGUUAACGUGAGAAUUGGACGAACUGGUUCCGUGGUAGCUAUUUAAAAGGAAGUAUAUAAGACUUGCAGGUUCAAGAAAUGAGACAUGGGAUGAGUGAGUAAGCGAUGAGGUACAGAUACUCGCUUUGGUGAGCCGCCAGCUUAGGAUUCCCUUUUUACUGUCUUGGAGAGCUCCGUCAUUCCGGAGCCUAGAUUUUGGUAGCGACUUCCUGAUAUGCAUAUAUAUAUGUUUUUGUCCAUGGGUACAACGGGGCCCUGUCCCGUCAUAUGUUACUGUUGAUACUCUUAGAGGUCUGUAGAUAUGUAUGUGGGUUGUUUGCAGAUGUGGUUAGUUGUGCCUAUAUGGUCAUUAUGGAUGUUCUAGCGUUGUGGCAGCCUUGCCGGCUUGCAUAUAUUAUCGUUCUGUUGUAGCAGCCUUGUCGGCUUGCGUGAUAUUCUGAUAUGUAGUGGCAGCCUUGUCGGCUUGCGUAGAAUAAUAAUAUAUACAGUGGCAGCCUCGUCGGCUUGCGUAUGUCA